GGUCUUGUGGUCUAGUGGUAUGAUUCGCGCUUAGGGAACACCCUGAACAUUGUUUGCGCGAGGCCCCGUGUUCGAUCCACGGCAAGACCC